AAACGACGUCACAAAUAAGUGAACAAAAAGUCAUUAAUGGUUGGGUUUCUAAAGUACCGGGAAAUAAAUGAUUAGUUUCAUCUUUGACAAAAUUAGUAACAAAGCUGCAAUAGACUGUUUAUAUUUUUGAGAGUGAAGGAGUUUCAAGCGGAAUAAAACAGCCUGCUCAAAGACAAAGAUAGACACCAUGAUUAUAAGGUGAUGAAUUCAAUAUGGCACAGUGAUCCUAACGAGGAAUACUGUCAUUAUCAUCAUCACGGAGGGAAAGUUUUUGAAUACCAAAAAUUCUCUUCCGGUGAACGGCAGGCAGUUUAGGGAUUAAAACCAUAAACAGGGCCCAAAUGUUGACCAAGAACAUCCAACCGUUAUAGUGGGUGUAAUGAGUACUCAUUAGGAAUAGUAUAAUGGGUAGAACUAAAAGAUAUUUACGGGCUGGUGUGUAUUGAUUUCCUUCAUCUAAUUGCUCCCACAUGGUAAGGCGAUCAUAGGCACCACCGUUGAACUCGAAUGGAGUUCCAGUAACCCAAUGAAACAUGAUGAAUGAACCAGCCAUAUAUGUAAGAUUAGUGAGGGUCCAUGCUAAUUCGCGUGACACUGAAGGAAUAGCAUGGAAAAUAAGACGAAGAGCUGCAAUCAAGACAAUGUGGAUAACCCAUGCGCCCUUAUAGUUCACCCAAUUAGAGUUAUAAUUCGUGGCUGAGCCUUGGUCUAAACGAUCAUCAAUCGUGGGUUUAGGUACCUUAGUGACCAGGGAGGAAGACCUUCUUCUGCUACUACUGCUGCCCAUUUUUAUAUGAAGAUGAAGAAACAGAACGAGAAGGAAGAGGGAAAAACGGAUGUGAGUAAAGAAAUAAACAAGUUAUAAAGAAAUAAACAACUUUGACGGAAAAGCUUUAAAAUCCACACAAAGUUAAAAGAAUCGAUUCAACUCGCCUGACCAAUCUGCAAUUCAAUCUGUAAAACAAUUAACCACCGACUACUUCGUAUCUAGAAGAAGACGAUAUCACAAAGAACAAAUAAUAUACUUGGUCAAACAAGAGAAGAGAA